rnacentral:lncRNA from 1 species
CCUACACCAAACAAGUAAAAUAGCUGUGCACUCUCAUUUUUAAAAAAUUAAAAAAAAAAACUUCAGUGAGGAGCCCUCCAAUAAUGUCACGUUAAAGAGUUUCAGUCUAUUGUCAUGUAUCUCUAGUCCUUUUUCUCCAAAGUAGAAAAUAAUUAUUUUUUCGAUUUUAGUAUUAUAAAACAGUCAAUAAAUUUUUAAGUGGUGAUAAAAUAAGUACUUAACAGUGAAUCAGCCAAUUUUUAAUAAGUCAUUAUUGGAGAGCUUUUCACUAAAAUUUUAUCUAAAAAA